rnacentral:lncRNA from 1 species
GUGGCGAAGAUCUCAACACCCGGUGUGACGGAGUAGGGGGCGGUCCUUCUGGAGCCUAGGGUGUGGCGUUGUGGCGUCAGGCAUCGUCGAUGAGCACGUGGCGUAUGUGGCGGCAGUGGAGACCUCACCCGGUGAGGGUGCUGAAGCUUGAGCUGCGAUUGUCCGGAUAGGAGAGGACUUGGGCGUCGUGCGGGCGAGUAGGCAACCUUCGAGUCGUGCGCUUGCGGCGAUUCUGUGAUACAAGGAGUGGGGGCAGUGGGUUAUCACAAGUAGGGGAUUAGCGCUCAGCACAGGGGAUUAGCAUGCAGUGUUUUUUUUUAUCGAACGGUGGCUAUCUAGGGAUGGGAUUAGCUAUCAAGGCAGGAUAUUAACGCACAAGGGGGG